rnacentral:misc_RNA from 1 species
ACGUCAUCCCCACCUUCCUCCGAGUUAACCCCGGCAGUUUCUCAUGAGUGCCCACCAUCACGUGAUGGCAACAUAAGACAAGGGUUGCGCUCGUUGCGGGACUUAACCCAACAUCUCACGACACGAGCUGACGACAACCAUGCACCACCUGUAUACCGACCACAAGGGAAAACGUAUCUCUACGCCGAUCCGGUAUAUGUCAAGCCCAGGUAAGGUUCUUCGCGUUGCAUCGAAUUAAUCCACAUGCUCCGCCGCUUGUGCGGGCCCCCGUCAAUUCCUUUGAGUUUUAGCCUUGCGGCCGUACUCCCCAGGCGGGGCGCUUAAUGCGUUAGCUGCGGCACAGAAGACGUGGAAGUCCCCUACACCUAGCGCCCACCGUUUACGGCAUGGACUACCAGGG